AGAUCCACGCCAGACGACUUGAUGCGGCGGCCACCGCACCGCCAGGGGCCGGUCGCCCCCCUCCCUCUCGGCGCGCGCUCGGUGGCCCAGGUGCCCCUCACGCUCUCCCUCUUGUUCCCCAUCCACCAUCCAGCUCACCGCCCCCGGAUCGGUCGCCUCCUCACCAAGCGCGCCGCCGUGGGAUCCUCGCCGGCCGGCCGCUGCUGCAGGGGUCCUCCUCAUGGCCCCUGGAGGUCUGGACUGGCCGCAGCCGCCGCGGAGUCUUCGGUGCUCGUCCGCCGCUGCGGGAUCCUUGCCGUCCUUCUACCCAGGCCAACCCUCCAUCUUCACAUCGCCGUCAUAGCCUCCUCUGCUAGCUACAGCCUUCGGUGCUGCGCUCCCCAACCCCGCCCGAGCUCUUCUCGGUGCAAGCGCCGUGCGGCCGCCGGCGUUCCGCCAUUGCUGCUCGCCUCCCACUCCUCUGACUUCGCAAAACCGCGCGGUCCUCGUGUGCCCUCCCGUCGCCGUUGUUGUCGCAGUGAAGGUUAACGUUGUUCCUGACCUCGACCAAGACGAGCGCCUACACAACUCCCCCCAACUGCAUCAGCACUCGCUGUCCAAGCACACCUUAGAUUCCCUACAUGCCAUCGACCUCGGCCACCUCUGCCCCACCUUCCCGGACACUACAAGUGCUGCUGCUUGCUGCUUGCCGCUGCCUACCUCUCCUCUACGGCCGUGCUACCAUCGUUCAACCCAGGUAUCCUCAGUCCUCUUGCUAUCUCUCUGAUUUUAGACCAAAGGCCAAAACUUUGGCCCUGCUUAUAUUGAAAGCAGAAUGUUUACGGCUGGGGGUUCCAGCUUUACAAUUCAGAGCUCUAUCUCUCUGAUUUCCCAACUUGUGAUUUGGUUCCUAUUCUCGGGUUUGGACCACAAUAUACCGCUGCCACCUCUAAACAUGUACUCUUGAAUAGAAUCACCCAAGCAAGUUUAAUGGGACUAAAUGGGUGCUUGAUCAAGGUUGUUGUACCCAUACGUCCAUGCACGCAAUCUGUUUGACUAAAUGCUUCAUAUGCUUGUUUAUUUCACUUAUGCAUAAAACAUACUGACUAGGUUUCAAUCCUGUAAUCUACAUAAAUUCCUUCUUUUAUAUGUGAUUGACAACUCGUCUUGGUUUUGUAGUAAGAAUCAACAACUAAUGCAAUGAACACACAUGAUAUAAAUUAUCUCAGAAGUACACAUACACCUGCAGUUCUAUACAAUGUUUACUUCAACAUACUUUAGGAGAAAUUUAGAUAUUUUGUUGUGAAAUAAAAAAAUAGCAAUGAGCCACAGUUCAGAACUUGAGAUAUCUUCUUGGAAUUCUGGUUAUCAUCUUGGUAUUCACAAUAAAUGUUGUGAUCCAUUGAAAGAUAAUCACUUCAUUAAUCCAAAAGGGAAAAACAAAUGACCAUGUUGAUUUUCAAAUUCCAUGUGUUUUGGAUUACCACCAGGUAUGAGCAAGUAGUCACAAAGAUUUAUAUUUAAAAACAACUGAUUUAUGGGUGCAUUGCUCAAUGCAAGAGAUAAACUACAGAUUUUAAUGCCACAUCUUACCUGCGUCAAUUACCUGAUGGCAGCAGCUACUGCAAAUGGAGAACAGGGACAAACUGAUGACUAUCAGGCGACUUUCGGCGUCAACUUUUGUGAAUUUAAUUGAACUGAAUUCUUUUGACCUGCCUUGUUACAUAAACUUAUCUAGCACGGCUCAAAAACAAGUUUGCCAAUAGCUACAAACUAACCUGAGGUUUUACCUUAUUGUUAUUUUCUUCAAGCUGUCAUUAACAUGAAGACAGUACAUAUUUAAUCAUGAUGAUAUAUAAUUUGUCCAACAAUGCCAAUAUGACAUGAAUCUCAAGUACAGGUAGGUGAGUCAUGAGUAUCAAGAUGAAGAUAGUACUAAAUCUGUUAUUUUUUCCAUUUCCAACUCUUUGAACUACAUACUCUCUUAACUCUUCCUAGAGUUAUUCAAUGUAAAAUAGGAUAUGCCCUAAAUAUUUGUGGACUUGCUCUCAUCACAGCAUGCAUCUAAUAGGACUCUUUUAAUGUUCAAUAAUUUCAACUGCAGCAAUUCAAAGCGGAUGCCUUAAGUUUGGCAAACACCCUUCUUUGGAAACCACAAGAGAACACUGCAAAGAUAAUUAAGGGAACAGAAAUUAUAAGCUGCUCGAUGACAUUAAUGACGGUCUCAUUUGGCAUGAGUGCAAUUUAAAUCCCUGUCCCUAUAUAUGUAAUGAGUAGUUUGUUAUUCAAAAUAUUCCAAACAUUUGUUAAUUGGGAAUUUUAUAUCCAUGCUGUUAUUCAAAAUAUUCCAAAUCAAUUGUUAAUCGGAAAGUAUAUAUCCAUGCUGCUUUCAGAGGCAUAAAUCCA